GCUGCACGCUCACGACAACACCGGGCUGGUGGUGUGCUGAUUAUGCCCCUGCCCUUUGUGCGUGUAUGUUUGGUGUGUUGGCGUGCGUUCGGUCAGUGUGUGUGUGU
rnacentral:misc_RNA from 1 species